GCGGCGUGCCUAACACAUGCAAGUCGAACGGAGAUGUUCGCUGAUGAAGUACUUCGGUAAUGAUUCUUGAAUAUCUUAGUGGCGGACGGGUGAGUAACGCGUGAGCAACCUGCCUUUCAGAGGGGGAUAACGUUCGGAAACGAACGCUAAUACCGCAUGACAUUGUUGAGUCGCAUGACAUGACAAUCAAAGGAGCAAUCCGCUGAAAGAUGGGCUCGCGUCCGAUUAGGUAGUUGGUGGGGCAACGGCCCACCAAGCCGACGAUCGGUAGCCGGACUGAGAGGUUGAACGGCCACAUUGGGACUGAGACACGGCCCAGACUCCUACGGGAGGCAGCAGUGAGGGAUAUUGGUCAAUGGGGGAAACCCUGAACCAGCAACGCCGCGUGAGGGAAGACGGUUUUCGGAUUGUAAACCUCUGUCCUCUGUGAAGAUAAUGACGGUAGCAGAGGAGGAAGCUCCGGCUAACUACGUGCCAGCAGCCGCGGUAAUACGUAGGGAGCAAGCGUUGUCCGGAUUUACUGGGUGUAAAGGGUGCGUAGGCGGCUUUGCAAGUCAGAAGUGAAAUCCAUGGGCUUAACCCAUGAACUGCUUUUGAAACUGCAGAGCUUGAGUGGAGUAGAGGUAGGCGGAAUUCCCGGUGUAGCGGUGAAAUGCGUAGAGAUCGGGAGGAACACCAGUGGCGAAGGCGGCCUACUGGGCUCUAACUGACCCCUGAGGCACGAAAGCGUGGGUAGCAAACAGGAUUAGAUACCCUGGUAGUCCACGCUGUAAACGAUGAUUACUAGGUGUGGGUGGACUGACCCCAUCCGUGCCGGAGUUAACACAAUAAGUAAUCCACCUGGGGAGUACGACCGCAAGGUUGAAACUCAAAGGAAUUGACGGGGGCCCGCACAAGCGGUGGAGCAUGUGGUUUAAUUCGAAGCAACGCGAAGAACCUUACCAGGCCUUGACAUCCUGAUGGCGUAGGCGUAACGGCUUAUUCCCCUCGGGGCAUCAGAGACAGGUGGUGCAUGGUUGUCGUCAGCUCGUGUCGUGAGAUGUUGGGUUAAGUCCCGCAACGAGCGCAACCCUUAUUCCCAGUAGCCAGCAUUUUGGAUGGGCACUCUGGGGAGACUGCCGGGGAAGACCCGGAGGAAGGCGGGGAUGACGUCAAAUCAUCAUGCCCCUUAUGGCCUGGGCUACACACGUGCUACAAUGGCACAUACAAAGGGAGGCAAAGGAGUGAUCUGAAGCAAAUCCCAGAAAAGGCGCCCCAGUUCGGAUUGCAGCCUGCAACUCGGCUGCAUGAAGCUGGAAUCGCUAGUAAUCGAGGAUCAGAAUGCCGCGGUGAAUACGUUCCCGGGU
rnacentral:rRNA from 1 species